CCUACUCAGUCGUUACAUAACAUAACAUAAAAAGUAUAUACGUUUGUAUAAUUAAUAAAUCCAACAUACAAAUAUAGAAUAAUAAUAUUAACAAUACUAAUAAUAGACUUUAUAGCAACUGAGUAUUUACAGAUCUUGCUUGUGUUUCAUUAGUGUAAUAUAAGCCUUAAUAUAUUCAUCCAUGUUGUAUUGAUCCGAACGCAUUGACUGAUUGGCUAUUUGCAGUGUGCUUCACCGUGAUUAGCUUAGUCUGUAGGCCAACGUCCAAUCAUAUUGAAGCGCGGGAAGCGCGGUAUUAUGAUCUACGCUGUAGCUGCUACUGUUUACCUUAUAUUCACGUAAGCUCUUUUUUUCUAUCUCAUGCCGUUCGGCGGGUUUAAUUGAAUUUACCUAAUCCAAGACGGACGCGACGACAUUUUUCCACCAUUAUUUCGGGGGAAUCCCAAAGAGCCCAAACUCCAGCAUGCCAGGAAUGGCCCAUUUGAUGUCAUUCCAGUUUGCAGCAUUGUCCCCCAGCCAGUGACCUGAAUAUUUGCCCACACCUGGAAAGGAGGAGCGGGUCAACAUCAGGGCAGUUCAGACAGGCUGCCAGUCUGGAUGAACCAGGGUGAAGCGACCGCAUAGGCAAUCCUCUGCCCUGAGUGUUCAGGGUUGCUGCUCGCUGGCUGAUGCACUGAACUUCUAACAGUGCAAAGUACCUUAGGAGGCCUUUAUGUGUAUCAUUGCAAUCUGCAUAUUGUUUUCCCAAAUGGAGAUUUAUGCAUAUACUGUAAUACUUCUUCUGUGUCCAUGCAGUAUGUUUUUUUUCUAGUGUUGUUGAAUUUUGCAACAGCCCUGCGGAGCACUGAGGCCGUGCUCACUAAUCGUGCCUCUGCCUGUCAAAUGAACUACUGUAAAAAGAUUAAAGUGAAUGUAAAGGAACUAGCUGAGGCUUCCUGACAAGUGGCAAGACAUAUUUCUGCCACAAUAUUAGAAAAAUUCAUGCCAGACAUGAGGCCACUGUCCAUCACCUGCUCAGCUCAUGCUACUGUUGCUGGUUUCCCUAAAUACAUCCAGUUUCCUGUGACUUUCCUUCAUACAACUGUUCCACAUCGCACUCACAAAUGAGGUCACAAACCUAUAAACGCAUCACUUGAGUCCGACUGGUGGCACCAAAAACUGAUCAUCAGUGAGAUUGAAUCAUUAGCAUAAGUGCAGCAGAGCUUUGGGUUUGCUGUCAGGAAUCCGUGAAAAACAACACAGCUACGUUCAGUCGUCGUAGAGCAUCACCCAGAACAAUUAAACAUGUCACAUGUCAGUCAUGUGUCAUCAAAGCAAUGUGACGGAAGAAAACUGGGAACGCUUGAGACGUAAGUCAUAAUAGGAGAUGACUGUGUAGAGAGAAUGCCAUUAAAACCUUGACACAGUGAGAAGAGAGUAUUUUCUCGUUUUAAAUACAGAAAUGUAGAACCUGCUGUGGAAGAUGAAAUUAAUAUAGGAAUCAAUAUAGUUAAGAGAAUAAGCCAACGCAGCUUCAUUCAGAUAAACACACAUUUUCUGGGGAAGUCCUUCAUACAGUAGUGACUUUAUGACAUGAUAGCUGUGGUGACUGGUCCUGCUGAGACCCAGUGGCUCGGUUUACUUAUCUCCUGCUGAGUCUUGUAAAAAUGGUAGGAUGCAGUUUUUAAUCAUUUUCUGCUUUUAUUUGAACUUUACUUCAUGUUAUGCAUGUGCGGGUGUGGGCUGUUUCAAGUUUAAACUCACCAAUACAUCACUGAUCAUGUUUUGUACCACAGCGAUCCAAUAAAUAAAAGCCACUGCAUUCUUCAUGCUAGAAUAAAAACAUGUGGGUCAAAUGAACACAGUUAAAAAGAACAAAUAAUUUUUUGCACCAUGAGAUUCUGAUUUGCUUUUUAUUUAUUUCUCUUUUUUUGAAUGAAAUCAACGUCCUCAUUUCAAGUUCCAUUAGAUGUUUUAUCUUUUCUCUUCUCUCUCCCCAUCAUCAGGCUGGGAGUCAGGCUGUCCGGGUAGCAACAACGAAUCCCUCCGUUGCCAUGGCAACUCGGAGCGGGUGAACUUUUGUCAGUACUGUAUGAGCCAAACAGACAGACAUAUGGACAAGCUGACUGACAGCCUGGACGGCAGAGCGAUAUACUGGUGAGGUUGGAUACUCAGGAACCGACCCGGAGACCAAGCUGCAAAAAGGACGCUUAACUCCACCCAGACCCGUGAAUCAGCAGGAGACCUCACCCACCGAUCACAUCGGAUUCCCUGCCUGGACUCUCCUGGGCUUGGAGGAGUACUGUACGUAAGGAACUGGGAGCAUACAUGAGGUCAUGAUGCUCGUGACCUUGGCGUUACAGGGCGUGUGCAUGUGCGUUGCUGCAGCGUGGCUCAUGCCGCCUCCUGUUGAUGCCCGGAGAAACCGUCUCGCUGCCUGUUUACGCUCCUCAACUCGAGCGGUUCUUCUUCCCACUCGUCCUCCUUUCCAAAUCCAUCUUUACUUUCUUUGUUCUGCCUUGUAAUAUACAAUUCCCAUAUCUGACGCCUCAUUGUUGUUUCUGUGGGUGUAAAUAACUGACAACGAUUCUUUUCCCCCGUGGAUUCAGAACAAUACUUCAACAGCUUUUCAAAAGAUUCAUCUGAUUAACCUAAUUUACCACAGAAAGUGAAACAGCGAAGUCGCUGACAUUUCAUAACACGCUCAGUAGUUAAACGUGCGAAGCCUCCUCAUGGUCUUAGUUACAGUAUAUCAUUAUGCAUCUCUUCAGCUCUGAAGAGUUGAAGCUGAGAGGCGCUUUAGCUCCGAUCCUGUAUUGUUUCCUUAUAAUACCGGUGGUGAACCAUGGUCUCCAUUAAACACAGCUGCUAGCGUGUACGUGCAGCCCUUGUGUGGUUGCGUACAAAGUUCAGACAAGCAAACCGAACCCCGUGUGCCACUUAAUAAAGCACAAACUCGCUAGCUCUCAUUGACGGUAACACAAGCUGUUCUUACGCUCCUGCACGUGCGCUGCCUUUGUCGUGAGCAUCCCUUUCCUUAAAGUUUCUUGUUGUUCUGCAGUCAAGCAGUCAAGGCCGGCUCUAAUUUCACACUGUGCUGUUUAGAUAAUGGGCUCUCUGCGCUUUGAUAUGGGUGUUUCUGUUACGGCCGAGGGUCAAACCGGACUGAACAAGGUUCUAAAACACGCUCCUUGAGCGGGGAGACAAACUACAAUGGCCACCAAACUGAACUGGGAGGACCCAAAUGCACGACCCAGAGACAGGACUGACGACAAGUGGUUUAAUAAUAAAAAGAACAUAUAGACUGAGGACAAUACAAACUAAGGACGCUGCGUAUGCAGGAUAAACCAGAAAACAAAACAUGCAAACUAACACCUAAAACUCACAGAUAAACUAAAAAUCGCUGCAGAGCAGGAAACUAAAUAACUAUCCUACACACAAAACAUGCAAACAACAGUAUCAAACGUAAUCAGCAAACAAACACACAAACCUGGACAGGACACGAUGGCACGGUAACAAGUGACGAGUAACAAGUAUGAGUAACGCGUAACGAGUAACGAUUAACAAGUAAUGCACCAACCAAGACUGUGCACAAACUGAGACCUUAAAUACCAGACAAGACAGGUGAACCCAAUCAAACUAAUACAGGAAACACAAGACAGGAAACAAGGACACAAAACCAAAAGGGUGAAGCCAGGCUGCCCCUGGUGGCGUGGAAGCCGAGUCACAACAGUUUCGUUCGUUUUCUCAUUCGGCUUUGCUGCUAAACGCACACAGUACAGUGAGAUGAGGACGAGCCCGGUGUGUGUAGAAAGGUGGUGCAGCGUUGUGUAUUUACUGUUUUAUAAAAGUCGCUCAGUCUGAUUAUGUGUCUGUAUAAUUCAUGUUCUGUGUGGAAGGUUAAUUCACUCAGACUUUGUUGUGAUUGUCUAAUUAGUGAUCCAGAGCGGACUUAAAACAGCAGCCAGCGUGAUGAAGGCAUUGACACCUUCUCUUCCUUCCCACAGUCGUUUCUCUUUCUCUUUGUAUUUGUAUUAAUUCCUCCUUCUCUUAAUUAUCUUCAAUAUAACUCAGUUGCCUUCUUUAUGUUGUUUCCUUCUGUUUUGUGUUGAAGCGUAAGGGUUUCUCUUUGUGAUUCUGUUUGUCACUGAUGUCUAACACAAGCCAGAGACACAUGUGGUUGUGCUGUAAUGGAAGUUUUUAUCUAACGUUCCUUCCUUUUCUGGGUGGGAAUUAAUCAUUGUGGUAGCGCUGCAUGACCUGCACAUCGGCAUCAGAGCCCAGUCUCCCAACACAAUUACCUCGGCUGGUGCCACUGUCUUAGUGGUGAGUUGUUCUGGCAGACGGCGCUGUAGGCCAGGUGCUGGUUUCAGAACAUGAGCCAUGCGCGACAUCCGCAGAUGAAUGACAAUUAGUCUGCUCAAAGGCGCUUCAACCGGCGCCGUGCGCGCGGUUCAUCUGCCGAAUUAUUCAUUUUGGGAUUGUUUGUCAAGAAGAGAAUGGAAAAUCAGCUCAGAGAUUUUCAGACUGUGGUUUUCAUCAUUGAACACAUAGAGUGGCGCCCAGUUCCACCAGUUCAACCAGACCACUCCUGUGCGUUUGCCAGGUUAAACCCAGCAGAUGCACACACUCCUAUGGUUCCUUUGGGUUCACUUUGUUUUCUGCGUCUUCAGUGGAUGCUUUUCUCCCGUCUCGCGCUUUAACCCUGUCAUCUGGUGUCUCCCUCUGAUAAUUGCACAUGGCCUCAUCAGUGUUGAAAGCAGCGCUCUCAGGUAAAGUGGGACGCGUGAGGAAGAGGAGGAAAGGAUUUCGCUCGACAGCAGUUUCCCUCUUGAUGUCACUUACAUCACGAUGGGCCAUUUUUCUCCGUCCCUCCGCUGUUUAAGCCGGAUGAAGGCAACGGGCGCGUGUGGAGGAGCAUCAGUACAUUGUAUAGAGCCCAGUUUGUAUAAAUGUGUUAAAGUGCUGUGCUGGGUAUGUCUACACAUGUAUGUGUGUGUGUGUAGAAGUGUGUAAUUCAGUUGAGGUGGCCCAUGGAUAAGUGCCUGUGGCAGUUGGUGAUUACUGUUCGCUUCUUUCACUUUAUCCUCUUUACCUCCCUGCUCCCUCCACUCAAUCACCCGGCGUGUACACACAUUUGCAUGCAGACACACAGGCGCGGACACAUUCUCUUAUCUAAAGUUGUCUACAGGGUCCACUUGCUAUCUGUCAUUAGAAGAUCACAGACACCGCUGUGCGGGUGCGUGGAGUCCCCUCUGUCACAGAUGGAGCCCUUCAGCGCGUCAGCGUCGGCUUUUGUGCUGCGUUUGCUGCGGCCUGACAGUUGUGGAGCUCCACUAAUGCGGAGUUCUGGAGCCCACACCGGGCCCGGAACCCUCGAACCUGCACUUCUGCUUCCUGCCACCAGGCAUCAUGUUAUUCAUGGUCACUACGGGUAAUAAUGAUACGCUGCAGUUCGACGCUUACAGGAAGAUGGUGCUGCAUCUGCAGGGAUACGAGGUUGUAACUUCUCGUUUUUAAAGUUCAAGCUGUCAAAUAGGCCAUACUGUGAUUCUGCUAUAUUUUACAGAGUUAUUGCAGUGUAUUACACUUCUAUAUACAUACUGUAUAUACAUGUUUUCAGUGCUGGCUUUAGGCUGGUGAUGCAAUAAGAACAAUAAAACAAUGCUGGACCAAUAAAAAAAAAAUCUUUGUUCCAAACAGGUCGUGCAGUGCAUUCAGUGUUUUAGCUGUCAUUGCUGUAUCACAUCCCACACAAUGAACCAAACCUAAAAGGAGGCCAUGAGUUUAUUACUUCCUUGUAUAUUCUCGUUUCAACUUUUGUUUAUGUUUUGUCCUCAUAACUUUCUAUAUGAUUCCUUUUAUUCCGGUAUUCCAGUAUUUAGUACUUUUUGUGGCUAAAACGACGUAUAAUAACAUGAGCGUGGCCUCUGUCAGCGUUGGGGUUUUACCUGCUGCUGAGACUCAACUGUGGGAAACCGAAGAACCAAACGGGGUCACCGUCGAGGAGGUUCCUGCCAAAAAGAGAGAGUUUCUCUUCCCAAAAUGACGCACUUCACAUUUAGUCACACUCAAAGCGACUCACACAGCCACAGAGGAGUGUGCGCCCUCUGUCACACACGUUCACAACAUUAUACACUCAAUAGAAUUCACUGGGUUUGACCCUGUGUGUUCUAUUAUUCCUCACUCCUUCCCCACUUUUCCCAGACUCUCUUUGCUCAGGGAAACUAAAUCUGUAAUCAGCUUAGUCGUGUUGAUGCAUCAGACAUUUAUAAUCAGCGGUAUUGAAAAGAGAACAGCUGAGCGCUAAGGCGCUUGGCAAUAGCAAUGAGGAGGAGAGGAUGGAGAGAUAAAGAGGGGGUGAAUGUGUGUUUUUUAACUGCACGUCUCUCCAUUUAUUCCGAGGAUCAAAUUGAAAACCCUUUUUAGGAGCUUUCAGGUCUGCGUCCACACUGUGACGUGAUUUAUGUAGAGAGUCCAGUAAAAUACGUUUAUCUCCAAGGAAACAAUGAUACAGAAAAAAAAUGCCAUUGUUCCUCAGUUACAGAUUUUACAGUAACUGCUGUAGAUUCAGAAUCUGAACAAGUUUCUAAAGUUGGGUAAUGUUUGGACCAAACUUUAGGAAUCUGAGCCCAGA